rnacentral:rRNA from 1 species
AGUGAACGCUGGCGGUAGGCCUAACACAUGCAAGUCGAACGGCAGCACAGUAAGAGCUUGCUCUUACGGGUGGCGAGUGGCGGACGGGUGAGGAAUACAUCGGAAUCUACUUUUUCGUGGGGGAUAACGUAGGGAAACUUACGCUAAUACCGCAUACGACCUACGGGUGAAAGCAGGGGAUCUUCGUACCUUUCGCGAUUGAAUGAGCCGAUGUCGGAUUAGCUAGUUGGCGGGGUAAAGGCCCACCAAGGCGACGAUCCGUAGCUGGUCUGAGAGGAUGAUCAGCCACAAUGGAACUGAGACACGGUCCAGACUCCUACGGGAGGCAGCAGUGGGGAAUAUUGGACAAUGGGCGCAAGCCUGAUCCAGCCAUACCGCGUGGGUGAAGAAGGCCUUCGGGUUGUAAAGCCCUUUUGUUGGGAAAGAAAAGCAGCAGGUUAAUACCCCGCUGUUCUGACGGUACCCAAAGAAUAAGCACCGGCUAACUUCGUG